UUAAGUUAUAAAAAUAAACACCUCUAAUUAACUUAAAUAAUUAAGUUAAGUCACUUUAAGUCAUUAAGUUAAAAAACAAACACCACUUUAGUUUAACGAUCAAAAGGGUAAAACAGGAAAUGCAAGUAUGUAAGAACUAAAAUAAUAAAAAUUAUAUUCAUUUCCUUCUCCGUUUUCCUUUCCUUUUUUAAUUUUCUUCUCCAUUUCAAACGUUAAACAAAAACAAUGCAAGGGUAAUUUGCUGUUGCCGAAAUCCGAUGACCGGCAACAAGGGUUGUUCGCCUUUGUUCUCCUCUGCCGUCUUAAGUUUCACAAGCUGCAGCGUGGUCGCGGCAAGCGCAAGCAAUUUGGUGGCGAAAAUAGGUGGCGCACAAGAGUCGUGAGAUGCUGGUAGCGGUAAGACGGCGGCGAUGUUGCUGGUGGUGUCACGAUGGUGGGGAUGGCGGUUGCAAAAAUCAUAGCUCUUGAUGGUGUCCCGAUUGUAGAGAUGGUGGUUGGUGGCUGCAAUGCAAAAAGAAUAAAACCUAAAUUUUUAGGGCAUCUUUAUUUGUUUUGUGGUUAUUUAUUUGGUAUAAUAAGUAUAUUGAAGUAUAAUCUCUACUAUAAAUUUACUUUGUCCUCACUUGAAAAUAAGAUUUAUAUAGAGAUAUUGAAUUAAAUAAAAUUAUAAGCAAAUUGUUUAUUGUUUAUUGUUUAGUUUUAUUAUAUUAUACUCCUAAAUUUGUAUUUUUUUUUUGUAAAUUUUGUAAAUUAGAAUGGGUAAUUUUGUAUAUGCAC
rnacentral:lncRNA from 1 species